GAAAAGCACCGGGCAGGUUGUAAAAGGGCGGCAAAGGUGGCGUGCCACGGUGUGUCCGUGUCCCCCCUCAGUGGAGGGCAUCGUCCGCACGAGAGCCCACCGCCAGCUUGCGCAAGGGUGAGGCGGUGGGCGCCGUGGCUGGCCGAGUCGCCCGACGGCCGCCCCUGGGAAAGGGCAACGUGUCGCUCCGCGCCCCUCUAACGGCGGAACGCCGCAGCCCCGCCGCGGUGCGGGACCUUACGGACCUGGCCCUCCACCGUGUCUGCGGACCGGGACCGAAAGCCACCCGUAGAAGGUGAAAACUGGAAGGUGGUAACGUAUCGACAAAAUACAUAACUGCGAGACAGACAUAACUUUUUUUCCCACCAUGCACUUGGUAAAAAGUAACCCAACUAGACGAACUUGAAAGCAACAAGUUUGUACAAGCUACGAGAUAAGAGAAAAAUUAAACCUCUUUAUUGAUAAAAUGCACGGUGUUCGGGUAUACUAUGUCUAAAGGAAAGUUGCAUCAUCAACCAAAGAAAAUGUGAAUUAUGGCACAGACAGAUACAUAGCCAAAACGUUUAGGGUAGUAACUUUAAAAAAAAAAACAAAACAAACCCCAAACCAACAAAAAACUCCAUACUGCACUGCAUAUACAAACUUGAAGCAGCAGCAAAAGUAGGGAAGUGAGGAGGCUAAUACCAGUUCUGUAAUACACAAAGUAGCAUGGCCUCUCAACAAAGAAGAGGUGAAUCAAUAAAUCCAUGAAGAGCAAAAUUAUCACUACACAUAUAUUACUUACUAUAAAAGAAGAGGAAUGCAUUGAGACUAGGUGAAGAAACAAGCUGAUGUUUACCGAAAUAAGCACAAACAGCAUACAGGGCAUGCAGGAAAAAGAAAGUGGUAAUGGGGUGAAAUACAUGAAAUAUUUAUCAUAUUCAGCAAUGCACAAAAUAGAUUAUAAUCUCAGAAGCAAAGAAAUGUAAGGCUCAAAAAUGAAUACACUGUUACAUAAUACUGUUAUUCAAAACGGAGCAAGUGGAGGUGGCGUACAGAGGAAACAUGAAAAGUUGUACCUAUGUUGCGUGUCCUGAAAAAGGUUACUAAGAUUGUUACCAAGAGCGCUGAAAAGGAAAAAAACCCAACCAAAACCCAAGAAACAUGUUUCACAAAGAAAAACAAGGGAAAAUGAAAGCCUGCUACAGUAAACUUCAGCAGUGAGCAAGACUGACUAAAGAAGAAAAUUGUGAAGGAUGAGAGAGUUUCAGCUGGCAGUAUGCUUCCUGCAGUAUGAUGGAAGAAAAGGACACUGAAGAUAAUUUGAGAGAUGCAGAGCUGAUUAGAAUAGAGCAGAUAUUUAGAAAUAUGAUUUGGAACAAGAUUUGGGACUAAAACAUCACCUUAUAAAAAUGAUUGCCAGAUAUGACAAUAACAAAAAAAACCCCAAACCAACCCCCCAAAAACAACAACAACAACAAAAGAUUAAAAUCUGUUCUAAAAUAACUUUUGCUUUGGUGUUCGCAAACUGUUCCCUUCAUGGUCAAAAAAACCUUAAAAUGUUCAGAUAGAAACAAAGUGAUUACUCCAAAAAGCAGAAACAGUGAAUUAAAGGAGCAGGGAGAUAACAAUCUGAUAAUACAGGAGCACAGAAGGCCUAAUAAUGAUAUUAUUAUGCACACUAACCAAAAACUGACAAACAAAUAUUCUGUUAAUUAUAUAAUCAUGCAUAUGCUUCCUAUGCUUGAGGUAAAUGAUUAUGGAAAAUAACUCUCUUCUUGAAACUGCAUAUAUGUAGUAAACCUUAUAAACUCCCUACAACAUGGAUUAAUCUAAUUCCCAUACGUCACUUAUGCCCGGUAAAGUAUUUACUACAGACUUGGAAGGCUGAGCAUGGAACCCUUGCUUUGACUAGAAAGCACGAAUUACUGAAGGCUGCUACAUCUUGACAUAUAGACGACAAUCAGAUAUCUCUUAUCAAUACCAAACUACUUGGAAUAAAUUCAAGAUACAGAUAUCUGAUUUUCAUUUGACCUAUUCCAAUUUGCACUUCACUAUGUCAACUUUGAUAUUAAAAUGUUCCACUAGAAUAAAGAUAUUUAUAAUGAAAACAUGUAUAAAGAACAGAAGAUGAAUAGAUAUUGUCAUGGAUACAUAUGCAGGCAAUCAUUUAAACAUGCGGCAAUAGUAACAUCACAUUUUUCAUAGUUUCUAGUUGAACAUACAGCAGACAAAUAUAUGCUUAAUAAAGCUUAUUAAUCCUUAAUAAA